AAUGAACGUUGGCGGCAUGGAUUAGGCAUGCAAGUCGAGCGAGAAGGGUUUUUUGCUUGCAUUAAACCUGGACAGCGGCGGAAGGGUGAGUAACGAGUAGUUACCUGCCCGGGGGUCCGGAAUAGCCACGGGAAACUGUGGGUAAUGCCGGAUAAUAUCUACGGAUCAAAGGUGUGAUUCCGCCCCCGGAGGGGACUGCUUCCUACUAGCUUGUUGGUGGGGUAAUGGCCUACCAAGGCUCCGAUGGGUAGCGGGCGUGAGAGCGUGGCCCGUCACACUGGGACUGAGACACUGCCCAGACACCUACGGGUGGCUGCAGUCGAGAAUCUUCGGCAAUGGGCGAAAGCCUGACCGAGCAAUGCCGCGUGCGGGAUGAAGGCCCUCGGGUUGUAAACCGUAAAAGUGAGGAGGAAGGGCCCGUGAAGAGCGGGUCUUGACCGAUCCACAGUAAGGACGGGCUAAGUUCGUGCCAGCCGCCGCCGUAACAC
rnacentral:rRNA from 1 species